UGAAUUGUCGGGGGCCCGCACAAGCGGUGGAGCAUGUGGUUUAAUUCGAUGCAACGCGAAGAACCUUACCUGGUCUUGACAUCCACAGAACUUUCCAGAGAUGGAUUGGUGCCUUCGGGAACUGUGAGACAGGAGCUGCAUGGCUGUCGUCAGCUCGUGUUGUGAAAUGUUGGGUUAAGUCCCGCAACGAGCGCAACCCUUAUCCUUUGUUGCCAGCGAUUAGGUCGGGAACUCAAAGGAGACUGCCAGUGAUAAACUGGAGGAAGGUGGGGAUGACGUCUAGUCAUCAUGGCCCUUACGACCA
rnacentral:rRNA from 1 species